UACGGGGGGGGUAAGCGUUGUUCGGAUUUACUGGGCGUAAAGGGCGCGUAGGCGGCGUGACAAGUCACUUGUGAAAUCUCCGGGCUUAACUCGGAGCGGCCAAGUGAUACUGUCGAGCUAGAGUGCGGAAGAGGCGAGUGGAAUUCUUGGUGUAGCGGUGAAAUGCGUAGAUAUCAAGAGGAACACCUGAGGUGAAGACGGGUUGCUGGGCCGACACUGACGCUGAGUGCGCGAAAGCCAGGGGAGCAAACGGG
rnacentral:rRNA from 1 species